ensembl:lncRNA
AAACAACCUGCCCCUGGGAGGAGAGGCACCAGGAAGAAGGUCAAUGGCGCAGUCAUAAGGUCGGUAGGGGGGCAGUGACGUGGCCUUGGUCUUGUUGAAUACUUCCUUAAUGUCCAAAUAGCAUUCAGGAACGCCGGUGAGAUCGGGAAAAUCCGAUGUAGGUUCCUCCUGACACCCGUUGGAGGAAACAGUCACAUCGCCACCCACCUCCAAGCGAGUGGCAAAACAAGUCCGUUUGCAGUCCUCUCCCCAUUUCACAAUCCCGCCCGAGAGCCAGUCAAUGUGUGGAUUGACACGUCACUGGAGAUGUACGGUGAGUGAUACUCCAUAGUAACUGUCCGUCCAGAGCCGCUGCCUCCAACAGUUUGGAAAGCUGGACGGAGUCCAAAAGAAGUUCUCUGGCGAGAUUGGUGUCCAUUAGGCUGGUGUCAGCGCCAGAAUCCAUCAACACCACCUGCGUGAGAGACACAGAACCAUUGCUCAAAGUGACCUCAACCUUGGGACGAGAGGGACAACUAGGAAUGCGUGUACGGCUCACCAGCGCCCUCUGGAUUACUGAUGAGCCCCAUCUUUUACUGGGCAGAAAGCGAUGCGAUGACCCAGCUGGGCGCAGUAGAGACAGCGUCCCUCUCUUAUGCGACGUUGACGCUCCUCAGGAGAAAGGCGAGGCCCUACCCAACUGCAUGGGCUCCUCAGCUGGCACCAAUGAAUAUAGGCCAAGUUUUACUAGGUCAGAAGGGCUUCAAGCCUCAUUGAAUUAGGCUAAUUAACAGUAAAUGUGAAUGACUUGGCGUUCAUUCAAACUGGGCUUUUUCAAAUAAGUGCAGAUUUCUUUAGCUGUGUUGAUGAAAUACCCCCCAGGACCAGGAUUGGGAAACACUGCUUUAAGAUAUCCCUUUUAUUUAUGUAACUAACAUGAACAUUUGUUGAAUUCAGUUGUUAAGCACUCCUCAUAAUAUAUGUGUUUUUAGUGACCUUAUUUCAUAUUUGGGUGAAAUUUGACUUGGUCCCAAUUUUAGGCAAACAUUAUUCCAG